GUAGGGAAUAUUGGGCAAUGGAUGCAAGUCUGACCCAGCCAUCCCGCGUGCCGGAAGAAGGCCCUCAGGGUUGUAAACGGCUUUUGACGGUGAAGAAUCGACAGGAUGCGUCCUGUUUUGACGGUAGCCGUUGAAUAAGCACCGGCUAACUCCGUGCCAGCAGCCGCGGUAAUACGGAGGGUGCGAGCGUUGUCCGGAUUUAUUGGGUUUAAAGGGUGCGUAGGCUGGAAGGUCAGUCAGCGGUGAAAAGCUGUCGCUUAACGAUAGUCUUGCCGCAGAUACUUCCGUUCUUGGAUGGGGAGGAGGCCACUGGAACGGAUGGUGUAGCGGUGAAAUGCAUAGAUAUCAUCCAGAACACCGAUUGCGAAGGCAGGUGGCUGUACCUUAAUCGACGCUGAUGCACGAAAGCAUGGGGAGCAAACAGGAUUAGAAACCCUGGUAGUCC
rnacentral:rRNA from 1 species